rnacentral:rRNA from 1 species
CCUACGGGAGGCAGCAGUGAGGAAUAUUGGUCAAUGGGCGGGAGCCUGAACCAGCCAAGCCGCGUGAGGGAAGAAGGUACAGCGUAUCGUAAACCUCUUUUGUCAGGGAACAAAGGCGGGGACUAGUCCCCGGAUGAGGGUACCUGAAGAAAAAGCAUCGUCUAACUCCGUGCCAUCAGCCGCGGUAAUAUGGAGGAUGCGUGCGUGAUCCGGUUUGAUUGGGUUUAAAGGGUGCGCAGGCGGCCUGUUAAGUCAGCGGUAAAAGCCCGGGGUUCAACCCCGGCGAGCCGUUGAAACUGGCGGGCUGGAGUUGGAGAGAAGUGAGCGGAAUGCGCGGUGUAGCGGUGAAAUGCUUAGAUAUCGCGCAGAACCCCGAUUGCGAAGGCAGCGUACCGGCUCCACACUGACGCUGAGGCACGAAAGCGUGGGUAUCGAACAGGAUUAGAUACCCUAGUAGUC